rnacentral:lncRNA from 1 species
GGAAUUCACAGGUCGCUGCGACCGGGCGGCGGGGGCGUCUCUCCCGAGGGAGCUGUUCCUCCCAGAGGGCAGGAGGGAUACAAGCGGGGUGCCAGGGGUGGCGUGUGGGAGGGGCUGGUGCCAGGCCGGUGCAGAACUGCAGAGAGCUCGCCGCGGGGGGGGGGGGUGGUAUGGCUGGUCUGGGGAGAACCAGGCACUCCCGUCCCUCCCAGUGGCUUUCUCUAUUCAGAAAGCAACUUACUUGGCCUCGGGCACGUCACUUCACUACUUAGCUUCGGCUUCCCCCUCUGUAAAAGGGGUGGUAAUAAGGUAACCCUAAAUGACCUACGUCACAGGGGUUGUUUGGAUUAAUUAGUUGGUACGUGUAAACGCCCUCUGAAGCGGUGUUCUUCCCAGCCGUGUGGGCAGCACUCCAGGUUCAUGGAAACCAGCAGAGGCAGAGCAUGCCGGCUGCACCUGACUGCAGCGUGUCUAACUGAUUCUCCACCUUCAGUGGGGUAAAACGGGGGAGGCAGGCAUAAGAUGACAUGCCAAAAAUGCUGCUUCUGAAUGCUUUUGACUGAAAAUCCCUGCAAGCAGCAGGGAGAUGACUGUCACAGUGCCCCUGCUGCCACCACAGGCAAAUGCUUUGCCACCCACUGAAAGAGGCUGGCUACUGCAGCUGAUCCAUUACAUAAUAAUGGCAGCUUUCCAGUAGGCAUAGACACAGAACAUGCCACAUCUGUCAUCAGAAUAAGCCUAGUUAAAGCGGCAACACUUCUAUCUAUGGACGAGGCCUCAAACAAGGAACCAGGAAUGCCCUGUACAGCCUCUGAAUUCCCCAAGAGAAGGAACAGAAUAACGGGGAACUAGGACCAGCUAGAAUUCAAAGUGAUUAGGGAAAAAUGGAAGAAUUCAUGCUGCAGGACAGGUCUGAACAAAGAAGAGCAGAACAUGCAGGGAGACGCUCAUUUACUGCUUGCUGCUGCCGUUUCUGGAAAGUACAUGUUCCAGUUGCAGUUUCCUAUGGAACGUCUUUACCAAUGAAGAGACCAUCAGGAUCUAACUGCUGUAUCUGGAAACCCUUGGGGGAGAGAGGCACAUUUCUAGCUUGUCAUUCUGCCUGGAUGAGAUUGGAGGCUCAUUACCGAAUUAGAAUAUUAUAAACCUAACAACACACAGCUAAAUUUCAGGUUUCCAAAGUCAUUCUUCAUAACUCCCCCUCUCCCACCCCCUCCCCCACCCAAUAGACUGCAGCCCCUUUGUCAGAUAAACUUUCUAAAGAACAGCACUGAAGAGGAAGGCAGGAGGGAAAGAGCAGCAGAGUGGAGUGAUUAGAAAAUGGAACAGGUUCUCAUUGGGGUGCAGAGCAUGUACGAAUUACUCGAGACAUUAUGGAUGACAGGCAUCAUUUCAUCCUGGAUCCCACCGUGACUGUAAACUUGCUCAUCUGUGCAUUUGCUACAGGCCUAGAAUAUUUUACAGUUCAAGUUAUCCUAAGCACCGUUAUUUCCUCCUUUUUCUCAAGAAGGCUCUGGAAUAGACACCUGAUCAAGAAGACCACUGUACCCAUUUUUCCUUCAUGAUGGAACUGCCUAUUAUCGCUGGCUUGAGGAAUUGGUGGUGGACUACAGCGCUGUACGUCACUAGUUCAACUGUGACGCCAUUCAGCAUGAAUAAAAAUUGGUGAAUUAUGAGAAUGGAAUGGAUC